GCGACUAUGGUGUAACGGUUAACAUAUAGGUUUGUGGUACCUGCGAUUCGGGUUCGAUUCCCGGUAGUCGCC
rnacentral:tRNA from 1 species